rnacentral:rRNA from 1 species
CUGCGGAAGGAUCAUUACUGAAAUGAACCUUGAGGCUGUCGCUGGCCCAUCUGGGCAUGUGCACGUCUCUGGUCAUUACCAAUUCCACCUGUGCACACUUGUAGACACUUGGGAAUGAGAGACUUUGACCAGUCUCUUGAGAGAAUUGAAAUCUGGGUGUCUAUGCCAUUUUACCAAACACUAGUUGCAUGUUCAUAGAAUGAUUAUUUGAUUGAAUAUAAAUACAACUUUCAACAACGGAUCUCUUGGCUCUCGCAUCGAUGAAGAACGCAGCGAAAUGCGAUAAGUAAUGUGAAUUGCAGAAUUCAGUGAAUCAUCGAAUCUUUGAACGCACCUUGCGCUCCUUGGCAUUCCGAGGAGCAUGCCUGUUUGAGUGUCAUUAACACCUCAAGACCUGUCUGCUUUUGAUAGGUAUUGGAUUUUGGGAGUUGCAGGCUGUUUCAGAUAUAGCUUGCUCUCCUUGAAUGUAUUAGUGGAGAAAAGCUGUUGAACUCCAUUGGUGUGAUAAAAUCUAUCAAUGCCAGGAGCAACAUCAAGUGGUCUCUGCUGUCUAACCCUAACUGUCUGACUCACUUGACCUCAAAUCAGGUAGGACUACCCGCUGAACUUAAGCAUAUCAAU